rnacentral:rRNA from 1 species
GUGAGGAAUAUUGGUCAAUGGGCGAGAGCCUGAACCAGCCAAGUCGCGUGAAGGAAGAAGGAUCUAUGGUUCGUAAACUUCUUUUGCAGGGGAAUAAAGUGCGGGACGUGUCCUGUUUUGUAUGUACCCUGAGAAUAAGGAUCGGCUAACUCCGUGCCAGCAGCCGCGGUAAUAUGGAGGAUCCGAGCGUUAUCCGGAUUUAUUGGGUUUAAAGGGUGCGUAGGUGGUUUGAUAAGUCAGCGGUGAAAGUUUGCAGCUUAACUGUAAAAAUGCCGUUGAAACUGUCGGACUUGAGUGUAAAUGAGGUAGGCGGAAUGCGUGGUGUAGCGGUGAAAUGCUUAGAUAUAACACAGAACACCGAUUGCGAAGGCAGCUUACUGGGAUGCAACUGACGCUCAUGCACGAAAGCGUGGGGAUCAAACAGGAUUAGAAACCCGAGUAGUCC